AUACGUAGGGGGCAAGCGUUAUCCGGAUUUACUGGGUGUAAAGGGAGCGUAGACGGAAGGCCAAGUCUGAUGUGAAAGCCCGCGGCUCAACUGCGGGACUGCAUUGGAAACUGGUCAUCUGGAGUGCAGGAGGGGUAAGCGGAAUUCCUAGUGUAGCGGUGAAAUGCGUAGAUAUUAGGAGGAACACCGGUGGCGAAGGCGGGUAACUGGACUGCAACUGACGCUGAGGCGCGAAAGUGUGGGUAGCAAACAGGAUUAGAUACCCUGGUAGUCCACACUGUAAACGAUGAAUGCUAGGUGUAAGAGGUAUCUACCCCUUUUGUGCCGGAGUCAACACAAUAAGCAUUCCGCCUGGGGAGUACGGCCGCAAGGCUGAAACUCAAAGGAAUUGACGGGG
rnacentral:rRNA from 1 species